rnacentral:rRNA from 1 species
UGAGGAAUUUUGCGCAAUGGACGAAAGUCUGACGCAGCAAUACCGCGUGAAGGAUGAAGGUUUUCGGAUUGUAAACUUCUUUUGUAGAGGAAGAUUAUGACGGUACUCUACGAAUAAGAGACUGCUAACUACGUGCCAGCAGCAGCGGUAAUACGUAGGUCUCAAGCGUUAUCCGGAUUUACUGGGCGUAAAGGGUCCGCAGGUGGAUAGGUAAGUCUGAUAUUAAAGGUUACAGCUCAACUGUGAACUUGUAUCGGAAACUGCCCAUCUUGAAAGUAGGAGAGGCAAAUGGAACUUAUGGUGUAGGGGUAAAAUCCGUUGAUAUCAUAAGGAACGCCAAAAGCGAAGGCAAUUUGCUGGCCUAACUUUGACACUCAGGGACGAAAGCGUGGGGAGCGAUCGGG